AUACCUUUCUUGGCCUUUUGGCUAAGAUCAAGUGUAAUAUCUGUUCUUAUUAGUUUAAUAUCUGAUAUGUGGGCCCAUGGUCCACACGAUAUUAAAUUUAUUUUUUGAGGGGAGGGUCCAUCAUAGUAGCUUGCUACUGGGACUCUUGAGCGUUGCCUUAGCGUUGCACUAUUGCUCGGGCCUAUGUGUAAUUA